AUUGAACGCUGGCGGCAUGCUUUACACAUGCAAGUCGAACGGUAACAGGUUAAGCUGACGAGUGGCGAACGGGUGAGUAAUGCAUCGGAACGUGCCCGGUCGUGGGGGAUAACGCAGCGAAAGCUGCGCUAAUACCGCAUACGAUCUGAGGAUGAAAGCGGGGGACCGUAAGGCCUCGCGCGAUCGGAGCGGCCGAUGUCAGGUUAGGUAGUUGGUGGGGUAAAGGCUCACCAAGCCAACGAUCUGUAGCUGGUCUGAGAGGACGACCAGCCACACUGGGACUGAGACACGGCCCAGACUCCUACGGGAGGCAGCAGUGGGGAAUUUUGGGCAAUGGGCGAAAGCCUGAUCCAGCAAUGCCGCGUGCAGGAAGAAGGCCUUCGGGUUGUAAACUGCUUUUGUACGGAGCGAAAAGGUCUCCUCUAAUACAGGGGGCUCAUGACGGUACCGUAAGAAUAAGCACCGGCUAACUACGUGCCAGCCGCCGCAGUAA
rnacentral:rRNA from 1 species